AUCGCUUCUUGGUCUUUUGGCUAAGAUCAUGUGUAGUAUCUGUUCUUACCAGUUUAAUAAAUUCUGGCUAUUAAGCCUCAGAAGAGCAGCUAGCAAAGAUUUUUCUCUUAUUCUGUAGGUUCUCUCUUUAUAUUCCUACGUGUUUCCUUUACUGUGUGGAAGCCUUUUAA
rfam:Ictidomys tridecemlineatus contig046593, whole genome shotgun sequence.